UACGAAGGGGGCUAGCGUUGCUCGGAAUCACUGGGCGUAAAGCGCACGUAGGCGGAUUGCUAAGUCAGGGGUGAAAUCCUGGAGCUCAACUCCAGAACUGCCUUUGAUACUGGCGACCUUGAGUCCGGGAGAGGUGAGUGGAACUGCGAGUGUAGAGGUGAAAUUCGUAGAUAUUUGCUAGAACACCAGUGGCGAAGGCGGCCAACUGGACCAUAACUGACGCUGAGGUGCGAAAGCGUGGGGAGCAAACAGG
rnacentral:rRNA from 1 species